rnacentral:rRNA from 1 species
UAGGGAAUAUUGCAAAAUGGGCGAAAGCCCGAUGCAGCAACGCCGCGUGGGCGAUGAAGGCCUUCGGGUCGUAAAGCCCUUUUUGAGGGGAUGAGGAAGGACAGUACCCUCAGAAUAAGCCUCGGCUAACUACGUGCCAGCAGCCGCGGUAAAACGUAGGAGGCGAGCGUUAUACGGAUUUACUGGGCGUAAAGCGCGUGCAGGCGGAUUGGAGAGUUGGAUGUGAAAGCUCCCGGCUUAACUGGGAGAGGGCGUUCAAUACUUCCAGUCUUGAGUGCAGUAGAGGGAAGUGGAAUUCCGGGUGUAGUGGUGAAAUGCGUAGAUAUCCGGAGGAACACCAGUGGCGAAAGCGGCUUCCUGGACUGUAACUGACGCUCAGACGCGAAAGCUAGGGUAGCAAACG